UGGUGGAGUGAUUUGUCUGCUUAAUUGCGAUAACGAACGAGACCUUAACCUGCUAAAUAGCCGGGCUAGCUUUGGCUGGUCGUCGGCUUCUUAGAGGGACUAUCGGCUCAAGCCGAUGGAAGUUUGAGGCAAUAACA
rnacentral:rRNA from 1 species